GAAGGGAGCGCGGCGUGGGCUCGGUACGGAGGAAGGGAGGAGUGCGGCGGUGGGUGGGUGGCGGAGGAGGGAUGGUGUCGAGCGACGGCUGCCGGAGGGGAGAGGGUAGGCGAAGGGAGGGCGGGGUCUGCCUAACGGGGAGAGGAGAGGACGUUGGGGGGAGAGAGAGAGAGGGGUGUGAAGUGUCACUGUCGUCCGUGAGGGUCUAGGUAGGCCUACGGCCUGUACCUCCUCAGGCGCGUCGGGUUCGGGCGGUUGGGGAGCCUUGGCCUCGAGAGGAGCCUGGGCGGGUUCCCGCGCCCCUGCUUGCGCCUACCGACCGCCGCUCCGGCGGCGGUCCUCUAGGCUGAAGCGGCUGCCCUUACCCCGGCCUAGGCGGUGCGGGCUCGCGAGGUAGGAGCAGCUGUCCCUGCUGAUGUAGGAUCAUCCAGUCUCGCGAGGUAGACCACCCAGGCUCGCGAGGUAGGAGUUGUCCCUGCUGCCCCUGCUGAUGUAGGAGCUGUCCCGCCGGAUGUAGGCGGUCCAGCGGGCGGUCCCACCGCCGUCUGAAGCGGUACCCGCCGCGCCGCCGCCACCACCGGUUCUACCCCCACCGCGGCUUCCUCGCGCAGUUCUACGACGACGUUUUGGUUCGGCUCUACAACACGGCCCCACGGGAGUACAUCGGGAUGGCGCCCUAGUGGCUACGGAAACGGGCGCAGGAGGCGCUCCUCACACGGCGGCGCGAGACCACGCCCUUGGUCCGGUUGCAGUAGGCUAUGAAGGGGUGGGACCAGGCGGGGGAGGAGGGAGGGAAGGAAGGAACUGGUAGGUGUAAAAGCAGAUUGCUUAGGUGAGCAGACGAGCCGGUGACGGCUGCGGUGCCUCGAAGGUACCGGAUCGGCCUUCCCCCUUCUUCUCUGUAGCCCUACCUUCCCUUCCUCCGGCGGCCCCUCACUCGACAACAUGAGCUGCUUCUAUCGACUGCGGGCCUAUUGGGGUAGGAGGGUUCCUCCCGCUCGACCUCCUCGAACUCUUCCCGCACCUCGGACGCACCCUCGCGAACCAGGUGUACGAGCUCGCGUAGUAGCUGUCCGACUUGCAGUAUCCGGUGUAGUUCCGGCAGUUCCUGAGCGGGCUGGAGGCACGGUGGCAGCUCCUACAGCUCCGACUGUUCCUGUGACUGCUCCAGAUACGUGUCUACUGAGACGUUGGUCAUUUGAGAGCCGAUGACACAGAACCUUCAACGAAUCUCGACCUCCUUACCUACGUACGUCUCCACCUAUCUUGCUGUUGACGUCUCAUCUUCAAACUAUUAGAGAUCUCAGUUCUCCAUUUCCAAAUAAAACACACACAAAUAUGUUAAUCCAAGACCAAGAAUGACAAGAACAAGAUCAUACAUUCCACUUGUUUUCAGUUUUCAGUACGUAAACUGGUCUAAAUAGAACAAGAAGAAGACCAGCUAGCACUCCUCCAAGAAUGACAAGCGACUGAGACAAGACAAAAGUACCACUAUGUUGGACCAAUACUCCUUUUACGGAGUGGCCUUGUACCUACCUUGACUGCCCUCCACCUAGGGACGAGUGGCUGCGGUUGGAGUAUGUAUAGUAGCAGCUGCGGUAGUAAUUGAUCAUGAUCGGAUACAUCAGGGAAGGGAGGGAGGUACUUUAUCUACAACAGUCAACUUCCCUACUAUCACCGUCAUGCUAUCACAAAAAGAAGUACGCAACACCACCCUAAUAACGUGAUAAACGAACGAUGACAUGGUAACAUGGAUGUCCAAUAAUCAUAACAACUAGGACUGGUACUCGAACUUACCAGAUCAUCAUCUUCUCGUAGUCAAAUUAAACAUCGUCAGUACAGUGUCUAAAAAAAGGAUACCGUACCAUGUUAAUACUAACCUUACCAUCGGUGAAUUGUACAAUCUUACAUGACUAAUAAACCCAAUUAAUGACCAGACAUAGUUCCCAUGUU
rnacentral:rRNA from 1 species